rnacentral:lncRNA from 1 species
UGGGUUUGUUAGAGACCAUCCUCUUCCUUUUUCAUCUGAAUUAACCAGGCAAGUGGGGAAAGGAUCAAAUCUGCACACAGGAAGUAAAUUGCCACCAUCCCACCCACACAAAGCAAAUGGAUGAAUAAGACAAUCCUGAAGGCUGAGUGAGUCCGCUGCAGAAACCAGACAUGAAUUAAAGAGGGACUAUUUCUCUUCCCUGUAAGUAGGCAGAGAGACU